rnacentral:rRNA from 1 species
AUGAGUAAUGCUACUUUCUCUAUAUGCUCGUGGAAUGUAUGUGGCCUAGGCGACGAUGCCAAAUGCUCUGACAUUCUCUUUGAACUAAUCUCGAUCAAUCCCCACAUCGCCUUAUUACAAGAGUCAAAACUCGAUACGUUCACUGACCCAAAGCUAAGAUCCUUUCUGCCUCGGCAACUUGAUCAAGUCUUCUCCUUACCAGCCGUAGGUACUGCGGGUGGCACCAUCUCUGCCGUCAACACUGCCUCGUUCCAAGUGAUCUCCUUCAACCACGUCACUUUCUCUUCAACCUUAAUCUUGCAAUCAGCGGCAACAGAUCGCAACAUAGCCAUCACCAACAUUUACGCCCCCUCCUCCCGCACAAUCAAACAGUCCUUCCUCGAUGAGUUACUAGCUAUCGCCCAACCAGACGACUCACCCUGGCUACUUGUGGGAGACUUCAACCUCCCCUGUUUCCCCUCUAACAAAAACAAUGACGCGUUUAGACAGACCGAGGCCAAUGCGUUUAACACUCUUGAUGACCUAGCCCUCAUCGAACUACCUCUUCUAGACCGCCAAUUCACAUGGUCCAACAAUAGAGCAACACCCACCCUAGAACUGAUCGACCGCACCUUCUUUAACUUGGCCUGGGCUGAAGCCUUCCCCAAUUCUUCCCUAUCGUCCCUCACGCGUUUCACGUCCGACCACGUCCCCCUCCUCGUUCACGUCACCACAACAAUCCCGCGCUCCAACUUUUUUAAAUUUGAACCUGGCUGGGCCAAUUUCCAACCUUGCAGAGAUAUAAUCCGCUCUGUUUGGGCUUAUCCACGGCCCACCUCGGCGACCAACUCUGCCGCCACCAUCGCCUCCUUGCUCAAACAAACUCGGGACAGUCUCAAAAAAUGGCUCGCUCGCGCAUUCCUGCCCCCCUCUGCGAAUCUCGUUGCAAAGUUGCUAUCGCUGCCCUCGAUCAUGUUGAGGAAUCCAGGCCUCUCUCCCCGCCAGAACUCCUCACCCGCAAAAUCAUCGUCUCCCUCCUAA